AGAGAACAAGGUGGAGAUCUAUGAUGAUGCCAUGCCUAAUGGAGAGAAUUCACACCUUACAGCAGUGUAUACACCAGAAAACUAUGAUGAUGUCAUCAGUCCUGGACAGGAUUUAGGAGAAGCAGCAAACUACGAUGAUGUGGUAGAGCUUCCUGAGGCAGAGGGAUAGACCAUUUGACAGAGACCCAAACAAUG